CACGUAGGGGGCGAGCGUUGUCCGGAUUUAUUGGGCGUAAAGAGCUCGUAGGCGGCUCAGUAAGUCAGGUGUAAAAACUCCAGGCUCAACCUGGAGACGCCACCUGAUACUGCUGUGGCUAGAGUCCGGUAGGGGAGCAUGGAAUUCCUGGUGUAGCGGUGAAAUGCGCAGAUAUCAGGAGGAACACCAGUGGCGAAGGCGGUGCUCUGGGCCGGAACUGACGCUGAGGAGCGAAAGCGUGGGGAGCAAACAGG
rnacentral:rRNA from 1 species